UCAUCAUUUCAGGUGAAGACCAUUGGAUUAUUCCUUUAGCCGUCUCCAAUAUAAUCUCUGUUAUUGUAAUCACAGUUCUGGUUGGAGUUUUAUAUAAAAAUCACAGAAAAGAUUCUUCAUCAAGCAACCAUCAAAUUCCCACCAAUCAGGCUGCUGAUGAUGAUGUCUUGAACUAUGCAGCUGUGAGUUUUGCUAAGAAACCUUCAUCCUCCAGAACAUUCAGAGAAAAGAGCCAUGAAGACGUUUAUGCACAAGUUAAAAUAAAAUAGAGAAUUUAAAUCAUCAGACACUGGAGAUUUACUGCUGUAAGGCACAUUUUAUUAGGUCAUGCCUGAUAAGGGGAAAAGGGGAGAGGAAGAUUACUGUUUUUCCCAAAAAUUCAAUAUUGUUACAUUUCCUGAAUAUAAUUA